UUGAAAUUACAACAGCUGCCACCAAUUGGGAGAACAUUGCAACUCAGGUUCCAAAUUGGGUUAUACUUUAUUGAGUCUAAUGAGUUGACUACAAAAUACUGUACAAUUGGCAACACUAAAUUUCUCCUUAAUUUAUACUAUACUGAACCUGUACUGGACUCUCUUCUUCUGAAUUUGGACUGGAUUCUACUGUACCAGAGGUCUUGACUUUGCCACUCUCUCUCAUAAAAUAGGGUCUCUGAAUGUCACCUGCCCUUUUUGGAUGAUCACAUUUAUCCCAAGGAUGUUCUUCUUGGAGUGUGUCACACCAACGGUUUUCUAAAUGAUAGUGACAGAAAGUGUGCAUCGCUCAACAUGGAAAUGUUUUGUAAAGAUGGUUACAUCUCUUGGGAGACACUGGUUUAUAUAACAGCAGAGCUAAAAUACUUGAUGUUCAGUUGAGAAUCAUAGCAGCUGACGGUGGGAUGUCCAAAUGAUGAUAUUACUUAUGAACUUGCUGAGGCUGUCCUGGAUUGACAAACUGGAUAUUGAAAGAGUGUUAACAUAGCCUGACAUCAAAGAUCACAUAAACUCUUUAACCAUUGUAUUGAUGCAAGAAACUGAAAGAUUCAAUAAACAGCUUCUAAUAAUCAAGACUUUGCAAUUUAUAGAACAGAUGAUGUUAAAGGUCAUCUGUUUCUUUGGCCAAUGGUUAACAAGCAGGAUAUCAUGAGGCAAGCACAAUGACCUACUUUCAAGUAGCUUUCAAGUAUAACAGUCUCUCUAGCGAGAUUGUAAGCCCAAGCCACAGAAAUACAUUCAGGCAUCAUUAGAAAAAACUGAAAAAAGCAAUCAAAGGUUUUGUAGUGAUGAGUGAGGAAUUAGAGAAUGUAUACAGUGCAUUUUUAAAUAACCAUGACAUUCUAACUUUGUUGUAGCUACCUAUCUUAUUUCUAGCAACAUACAAGAUUACUGGAUAGCCAAAGGUGCAGCACUCUUAUGUCAAAUUUCUGAUAAAUUUUGAUUACAGAUAAAUUGUAAAGCAUUAAACAAUAAAAGCAAUGUCCAAUAAAA